UUAUUAUGAGAGUUUGAUCCUGGCUCAGGACGAACGCUGGCGGCGUGCCUAAUACAUGCAAGUCGAACGCUUCUUUCCUCCCGAGUGCUUGCACUCAAUUGGAAAGAGGAGUGGCGGACGGGUGAGUAACACGUGGGUAACCUACCCAUCAGAGGGGGAUAACACUUGGAAACAGGUGCUAAUACCGCAUAACAGUUUAUGCCGCAUGGCAUAAGAGUGAAAGGCGCUUUCGGGUGUCGCUGAUGGAUGGACCCGCGGUGCAUUAGCUAGUUGGUGAGGUAACGGCUCACCAAGGCCACGAUGCAUAGCCGACCUGAGAGGGUGAUCGGCCACACUGGGACUGAGACACGGCCCAGACUCCUACGGGAGGCAGCAGUAGGGAAUCUUCGGCAAUGGACGAAAGUCUGACCGAGCAACGCCGCGUGAGUGAAGAAGGUUUUCGGA
rnacentral:rRNA from 1 species